rnacentral:rRNA from 1 species
AGAAUCAACGCUGGCGGCGUGCCUAACACAUGCAAGUCGAACGCGGUUACCCCGCAAGGGGCAACUGAGUGGCGAACGGGUGAGUAACACGUGGGUGACCUACCUUCGAGUGGGGGAUAACGUCCCGAAAGGGACGCUAAUACCGCAUAACAUCCCGUCCUUGAACGGAUGGAGAUCAAAGCCGGGGAUCGCAAGACCUGGCGUUUGAAGAGGGGCCCGCGUCCGAUUAGCUAGUUGGUGAGGUAACGGCUCACCAAGGCGACGAUC